rnacentral:rRNA from 1 species
UACAGAGGAGCCAAGCGUUGUCCGGACUGACUGGGCGUAAAGCGCACGCAGGCGGAUACGCGCGUGGGGUGUGAAAUCUGGCCGCUUAACGGCCAGGCGCCAUCCCAUACGGCGUGUCUGGAGCUGUGCAGAGGUCGGUGGAAUUGCCGGUGUAGUGGUGAAAUGCGUAGAGAUCGGCAGGAACACCCAGGGGGAAACCAGCGGACUGGCUCGUUGCUGACACUGAGGUGCGACAGCGUGGGGAGCGAACGGG